AUUGAACGCUGGCGGCAGGCCUAACACAUGCAAGUCGAGCGGAAGAAGGGAGCUGGCUCCUGGAUUCAGCGGCGGACGGGUGAGUAAUGCCUAGGAAUCUGCCUGGUAGUGGGGGAUAACGUCCGGAAACGGGCGCUAAUACCGCAUACGUCCUGCGGGAGAAAGUGGGGGAUCUUCGGACCUCAGGCUCUCAGAUGAGCCUAGGUCGGAUUAGCUAGUUGGUGGGGUAAAGGCCUACCAAGGCGACGAUCCGUAUCUGGUCUGAGAGGAUGAUCAGUCACACUGGAACUGAGACACGGUCCAGACUCCUACGGGAGGCAGCAGUGGGGAAUAUUGGACAAUGGGCGAAAGCCUGAUCCAGCCAUGCCGCGUGUGUGAAGAAGGUCUUCGGAUUGUAAAGCACUUUAAGUUGGGAGGAAGGGCAGUAAGUUAAUACCUUGCUGUUUUGACGUUACCAACAGAAUAAGCACCGGCUAACUUCGUG
rnacentral:rRNA from 1 species